AGCUUUGUGCAGUGGCAGGAUUGCGGCCAAUGAAGUUUAUCUGAGAUGUGAUUAUUGCUAAUUGAAUCUUUCUUCUUU
rnacentral:snRNA from 1 species